UACGUAGGUGGCAAGCGUUGUCCGGAAUUAUUGGGCGUAAGGCGCGCGCAGGCGGCCUCUUAAGUCUGAUGUGAAAGCCCCCGGCUCAACCGGGGAGGGCCAUUGGAAACUGGGAGGCUUGAGUAUAGGAGAGAAGAGUGGAAUUCCACGUGUAGCGGUGAAAUGCGUAGAGAUGUGGAGGAACACCAGUGGCGAAGGCGACUCUUUGGCCUAUAACUGACGCUGAGGCGCGAAAGCGUGGGGAGCAAACAGG
rnacentral:rRNA from 1 species